rnacentral:tRNA from 1 species
GCCCCGAUAGCCCAACUGGCAGAGGCAUACGGCUCAAACCCGUACCAGUGUGGGUUCGAAUCCCACUCGGGGCACC